GAUGAACGCUGGCGGCGUGCCUAAUACAUGCAAGUCGAGCGAACAGACGAGGAGCUUGCUCCUCUGACGUUAGCGGCGGACGGGUGAGUAACACGUGGAUAACCUACCUAUAAGACUGGGAUAACUUCGGGAAACCGGAGCUAAUACCGGAUAAUAUAUUGAACCGCAUGGUUCAAUAGUGAAAGACGGUUUUGCUGUCACUUAUAGAUGGAUCCGCGCCGCAUUAGCUAGUUGGUAAGGUAACGGCUUACCAAGGCAACGAUGCGUAGCCGACCUGAGAGGGUGAUCGGCCACACUGGAACUGAGACACGGUCCAGACUCCUACGGGAGGCAGCAGUAGGGAAUCUUCCGCAAUGGGCGAAAGCCGACGGAGCAACGCCGCGUGAGUGAUGAAGGUCUUCGGAUCGUAAAACUCUGUUAUUAGGGAAGAACAAAUGUGUAAGUAACUAUGCACGUCUUGACGGUACCUAAUCAGAAAGCCACGGCUAACUACGUG
rnacentral:rRNA from 1 species